rnacentral:rRNA from 1 species
AAGGCACCACAAGAACGCGUGGAGCAUGUGGCUUAAUUUGACUCAGCGCGGGAAAUCUUACCGGGUCCGGACACACUGAGGAUUGACAGGUGUUUCGUUUUGAUAUAGCAUUCAUAUCAAUGCUAAUGGGAAUUCCUUUGUUGGUUUUCUUUUUUUAGUAAUACAUGUGCUAUUAUACAAAACAAUUUCAAAUAUGCUAGUCCUUUCAUGAUUGUGCGAUAGGUGGUGCAUGGCCGUUCUUAGUUCGUGGAGUGAUCUGUCGGCUUAAUUGCGUUUCACUUAUGGCCACAAGUGUUUUAUAUUAAUACUGUGACCUCAUCGGUUUUUUUACAAAACGGUGAUUGCGUCCGGUAUGAUAUGCACUGUGAAAGCCUCGAAGGCAACGAACGUGACCGCAGCCUCUUGUUGCCUCCCUUGUGCAAACUGUAUCGUGUUUCUGCGUAUUAUAUAAAUUUAUUUUUAUUUUAUGUGUUAUGCUUUCAGUCUUUUGCCACAGUUUUUUCAUAUGUAUGUAUUAUCGUUUUCAGUUCCUUGAUGGAGGUACACAUUGCAUUAUUUGUGAGUCAUGUAUACAUAUGGUUGCGUCAACGUAGUCAUGUGUUGUUGUGGUUUGCAAGGUGUAUGUGUCGUUCACAGGGAUACUGAAAUUUGUAUGUGCAUACAGCGAAUUAACCUGCAGUGGAGGGAAACUAGAGGGACCGCUGACUUUUUAUCUAACCAGAGGAAGGUUGCGGCAAUAACAGGUCUGUGAUGCCCUUAGAUGUUCCGGGCUGCACACGUGCUACAAUGAUUAUUGCAGUGAGCAUCUUACCCCAGUUCGUGGGCACAGCUUAUUUCGUUACACUGGUACUUUAAAGGGUGUUGUGUGUGUGUGUAUGUUUAUACGCGUGUUUCUUUUUUGGAAUGCGUGUGUGAUCUGUAUAUAUACAUUUCGCCUGUCAGUGUUAGCGGGCUGAUGCAUUUUACGACCAGGCUACUUCGAAAGUAAGUAGCUAAUCAAUUCGAAGUAAUGAUUUCCUUUGCAUAUUACAUAUAUGUCCUGUGUCUUAUGGGUGUUUUCUCUUUUAGGGUUUACAUUGCCGUAUUAUACAGUGGCAUGUGCUCCAUUAAUUCGUGGUGGGGACAGACCAUUGUUAAUUGUUGGUCUCGGUCUCAACUAGGAAUGCCUUGUACGGGUCUUUGGUUCAACAGACCACCCGGAAUAUGUCCCUGCCCUUUGUACACACCGCCCGUCGCUCUUACCGAUGGACUUCUCUGUGAGUUUGAGGGACUGGAAAUUCCUUUCUAUGGAAACUUAAACGAACAGCGUGGUCUAAAGGAAAGAGAAGUCGAACAAGGCA